rnacentral:rRNA from 1 species
UGGGCAGAGCGGAAGGCCUAACUUUAACAAGUCGAGCGGUAGAGAGAAGCUUGCUUCUCUUGAGAGCGGCGGACGGGUGAGUAAUGCCUAGGAAUCUGCCUGGUAGUGGGGGAUAACGUUCGGAAACGGACGCUAAUACCGCAUACGUCCUACGGGAGAAAGCAGGGGACCUUCGGGCCUUGCGCUAUCAGAUGAGCCUAGGUCGGAUUAGCUAGUUGGUGAGGUAAUGGCUCACCAAGGCGACGAUCCGUAACUGGUCUGAGAGGAUGAUCAGUCACACUGGAACUGAGACACGGUCCAGACUCCUACGGGAGGCAGCAGUGGGGAAUAUUGGACAAUGGGCGAAAGCCUGAUCCAGCCAUGCCGCGUGUGUGAAGAAGGUCUUCGGAUUGUAAAGCACUUUAAGUUGGGAGGAAGGGUUGUAGAUUAAUACUCUGCAAUUUUGACGUUACCGACAGAAUAAGCACCGGCUAACUCUGUGCCAGCAGCCGCGGUAAUACAGAGGGUGCAAGCGUUAAUCGGAAUUACUGGGCGUAAAGCGCGCGUAGGUGGUUUGUUAAGUUGGAUGUGAAAUCCCCGGGCUCAACCUGGGAACUGCAUUCAAAACUGACUGACUAGAGUAUGGUAGAGGGUGGUGGAAUUUCCUGUGUAGCGGUGAAAUGCGUAGAUAUAGGAAGGAACACCAGUGGCGAAGGCGACCACCUGGACUAAUACUGACACUGAGGUGCGAAAGCGUGGGGAGCAAACAGGAUUAGAUACCCUGGUAGUCCACGCCGUAAACGAUGUCAACUAGCCGUUGGAAGCCUUGAGCUUUUAGUGGCGCAGCUAACGCAUUAAGUUGACCGCCUGGGGAGUACGGCCGCAAGGUUAAAACUCAAAUGAAUUGACGGGGGCCCGCACAAGCGGUGGAGCAUGUGGUUUAAUUCGAAGCAACGCGAAGAACCUUACCAGGCCUUGACAUCCAAUGAACUUUCUAGAGAUAGAUUGGGUGCCUUCGGGGAACAUUGAGACAGGUGCUGCAUGGGCUGUCGUCAGCUCGUGUCGUGAGAUGAUGGAUAGGUUCCGGUUACGAAGCGCACCCUUGAUCCUUAGCUUACCCAGGCCAACCG